rnacentral:rRNA from 1 species
AGUCACUGACAUUAGAUACCCCCGUAGUCCCAGCCCUAAACGAUGCGCGUUAGGUGUAUCGGUGACCACGAGUCACCGAGGUGCCGAAGGGAAACCGUGAAACGUGCCGCCUGGGAAGUACGGUCGCAAGGCUGAAACUUAAAGGAAUUGGCGGGGGAGCACCGCAACGGGAGGAGCGUGCGGUUCAAUUGGAUUCAACGCCGGACAACUCACCAGGAGCGACGGUUACAUGAAGGCCAGGCUGAUGACCUUGCCUGAUUUUCCG